AUCCCAUGAUGUGGACAUUUUCUGAUGAGAUCCUUGAACCUCUCCCAAGCGUCAUAGAAAGAUUCAUUGUCCAGUUGACAAAAACUUAUUAAUUUCCCCUCGCAGCUU